rnacentral:rRNA from 1 species
UACGAAGGGGGCUAGCGUUGCUCGGAAUCACUGGGCGUAAAGCGCACGUAGGCGGCUUGUUAAGUCAGGGGUGAAAUCCUGGAGCUCAACUCCAGAACUGCCUUUGAUACUGGCGAGCUUGAGUUCGGGAGAGGUGAGUGGAACUGCGAGUGUAGAGGUGAAAUUCGUAGAUAUUCGCAAGAACACCAGUGGCGAAGGCGGCUCACUGGCCCGAUACUGACGCUGAGACGCGAAAGCGUGGGGAGCGAACAGG